AUUGCAACAACACAUCAUCCGUAGGGUAAAACUAACCUGUCUCACGACGGUCUAAUCCCAGCUCACGUUCCCUGUUAGUGGGUGAAAAUCGGAAGAG